GGACAUUUGGCCUGAAAAUAAUUGGUGGUCAAAUUGAUACUAGGUUAUCAGUAAAGAUUUCUUUCUUUUAGUUGCAAGAAGAAGAGGCUCAAGACAAAGAGGCUGUACAAAGUUCUGAGAUGAUGCACAAUCACCUACAAAAGUUUAAACAUGAAUAUUGCAUGUUAGAAGAUAUAAUUAAAAAGCUAGCAAUGAAACUUGAAGAGCUACAGAAAAAACUGUUGGGUAGGAAUUUGACUGAAGAUGAACUAGUAAAGAAACUUAUUGAGUCAGUACAGAAGUUGGAAAUUGCUUUGAUUCAAAAGAAGAAGAAAAUAGAAGAAUUAGAAAAA